CACGGGGUUGCGAGCGUUGUCCGGAAUUACUAGGCGUAAAGGGCAGGCAGGCGGAUCCAUAAGUUUAUCGUUUAAGGCGUCGGCUUAACCGGCGUAGGGCGGUAGAUACUGUGGAUCUGGAAUGCGGUUGGGGAAGACAGAAUUCCUGGUGUAGCGGUGGAAUGCGCAGAGAUCAGGAGGAAUACCGAAGGCGAAGGCAGUCUUCCAAGCCGUUAUUGACGUUCAACUGCGAAGGUGUGGGUAUCAAACAGGAUUAGAUACCCUGGUAGUCCCUGAG
rnacentral:rRNA from 1 species